GCCUGAGUGACUCAGUUGGGUAAGUGCCCGACUUCAGCUCAGGUGAUGAUCUCACUGUUUGUGGGUUCGAGCCCCACAUCAGGCU
rnacentral:tRNA from 1 species